AUGGCGAUCAACAAACUCAUCGCCUUCGUCGUGUUGCUGGUGGUACUGCAGAGGGUGCGCUCGGAUGAUUCCCCGUGCGGCUUUCCGGCGAUCUUCAACUUCGGCGACUCCUACUCGGACACCGGAGCCUUCCCGGCCCUCUUCCCAGCGGUGCAGCCGCCCUACGGCCGGACCUUCUUCGGCAUGCCGGCCGGGCGGCAAAGCGACGGCCGCCUCACCAUAGACUUCAUGGCUCAGAGCCUGGGACUACGUUACCUGAGUGCGUAUCUGGAUUCACUGGGGAGCAACUUCACGCAGGGAGCCAACUUCGCGAGCGCCGCCGGAACCAUCAGACGAGUGAACGGGAGCUUGUGGACCUCCGGGUACAGCCCCAUUUCGCUGGACGUGCAGAUCUGGCAAUUCCAGCAGUUCAUCAAUAGGAGCCAGUUUGUCUACAACAACAUAGGUGGAAUCUACCGCGAGAUCCUGCCGAAACCCGAGCACCUGGUCUCCAAGGCGCUUUACACCUUCGACAUUGGCGCCAACGACCUCGCCAUGGGCUACCUAGACAACAUGACCACGGAGCAAGUCGAGGCCUACGUCCCCGACCUCAUGGAGAGGCUCGCGUCGGCGAUCCAGACGGUGUAUAACCUCGGUGGGAGGUACUUCUGGGUGCAUAACACGGGAACGCUCGGGUGCCUGCCGUACGCCCUGGCGUACCGCCCGGACCUCGCCGCCGACAAGGACAACGCCGGCUGCUCCGUCGGGCUCAACGCCGGCCCCCGGUUCUUCAACGCGCGGCUCAAGGAGACCGUGGCCAGGCUAAGGGUGGCUCUCCCUGAGGCCGCCUUCACCUACGUCGACGUGUACACCGCCAUGUACAGGCUGAUGAGCCAAGCCAAGAAGAUCGGGUUUGCGGGCCCUCUACGCGUGUGCUGCGGGUACGGCGGCGGCGAGUACAACUACAACAAGGACAUCGGGUGCGGCGUUAAGGUGGAGGUGAACGGCAUGGUCCGGGAGGGGAAGUCGUGCGAGGACCCGUCCAAGAGCGUGAGCUGGGACGGCGUGCACUUGACCGAGGCGGCUUACAAGUUCAUCUUCAGCCAGAUCGUGGAUGGCGCGCUCUCCGACCCACCCGUGCCUCUACGGCGGGCCUGCCAAGCGAAAGGGCAAUGA
rnacentral:rRNA from 1 species